rnacentral:rRNA from 1 species
UACGGAGGGUGCGAGCGUUGUCCGGAAUCACUGGGCGUAAAGGGCGCGUAGGCGGCCUGAUAAGUAGGGGUGAAAUCCUGCGGCUUAACCGCAGGGCUGCCUUCUAAACUGUCAGGCUAGAGCACGGUAGAGGCAGAUGGAAUUCCCGGUGUAGCGGUGGAAUGCGUAGGGAUCGGGAAGAACAUCAGUGGCGAAGGCGGUCUGCUGGGCCGUUGCUGACGCUGAGGCGCGACAGCGUGGGGAGCAAACAGG